AUCUACGGCCACGCGCCCUGAACGCGCCCGAUCCCGUCUGACCGCGGAGGCUGAGCAGGGUCGGGCCUGGUGAGUACUUGGAUGGGAGACCACCUAGGAAGACCAGGUGCUGUAGGCA
rnacentral:rRNA from 1 species